AGGUACUAUUCGGUUUUAUUAGACACAAGGAAUUAUUGAUCCAAGUCAGAAGCAGCACAACUACUGCCAUGUUAGAAGGAUUAAUAUGCACCAGCCCCGACUGUGACUUGCCUGGAGGCCCUCGCCUGGCCCACCCCAAUCUUCAUGCCUUCUGAGAGUCCUUGGGGAAGAGACCUACCACCAAGGUCAUCCCUUCCAGCACCUAACUCUUCUGUCUGCUAAAAAAAUAUCAACCAGAUUAUUCCUAAAAAGAUCAUGCUUAUCUUUGCCAUGUGUCGAAAAAGCCAACCUGGGUCCCAAAGUAUCUCAGUCCCAUGUUUCCUGGUUGGGAAGCAGAACACAAAUCCCAGUAAAGACCUUCUCUCUUCAACUAGUCACCAGAGAAACUGAAAGUAAUGAAAAAUAUGUAUACCACCCUUUAUGCCACAGGUUUGUAAACUCAAAUGUCCACCAGGACCAGGCAGGUGGCAUAGAUGAGUGAAGUACAGUGGUGGGGUGGAUUAGAUGGGUGGGAGGAGGGUUCCAGGGCAGGGGGAUUACAGCAAACCAGACUUAAUGGCAUGCCCCAUCCUCCACCCAGAAAACCAGCUUUUUUAACAGGCAAUCUCUCAAGUUUCAAAUACUGGCAACAAAUACAAAAGGAUUUUAAACACAGCAGAGACUGUGCCUUGUAACUUCUGCCUUAUAUAAUUUCCUACCUUAAUAAAAGCUCCCUCCCCCCACCAAAUAAGAAGACUCCAACCCAAUUAUUACAAAGAAAUUAACAGAGAAAUAGAAAAAUAUAGCAGCUUCAAAAAUACCAGUUUCCCCAUUUUAAAACAAAAUCAGUGGUAAUUCUUUGAGUUCAUUCAUGUGUAGGAGGUCAGCCAGGUCUACCUAUUGGUAAGACAGCCUUGCAUUAUUAGAAUGACACCUGCUACUAACCAACCCCAAAUAAGAUGUCACCCUGCCUGCCUUCACACUAUCCCCACCAGGCAGAGAAAGGAUAGAACCCGGCUGCAUAUUAUGAAGAAUAAAUUGAAGCACAGAGCCAGGAGGGACCCUCCUUGAUAUCACAUGGCCCCUCAGCCACAGGUUUCCAAUUCCACAUUUUGGUAUCAGAGAUGAAAGCCAACAUAACUACUAGAAGGUAUGCAGCACCUUAUAGAAUCCUGGGUAGAUAGUAGCCCAACUGCAUGUCUGCUGAGCAAAUCAUGCACGAAUGAAUGAAUCUAGCUACUUCCCUUAGACAGUGCUUCCUACCAAGGAAAAUCAGGAGCUGCUCUUGCCAUUCCAAAGACCGCAUUUCUCCAGGGGCAGGAGAGGAAGGCAAGGGAGGUAAUGCAGAGUUCCUUCUAUAAGUGAACAGAUGGCUUUCCUGGUUUUUAAGGGAAUAUCAUCGACCCUGUCUGACUCAUAAACAGAGAAAAAAGGAUUCAGGAACUUGGCACUUCUAGGUUGGGUCUGCUUUGACCUUGGACAAGGGCCUGAGAUUGAGAUAAAGGCCCACAUCCUUAUAAUCCAUACCCCUACCUUUCUUGUUUGGUGCCGGAGGCAGUUCCCAGGAUCCUUAUUCUCAAAGGAUUUGGCACAGAAAGUCAAUGUCAACAUGAGAAAGAAAGAGGCCAUGCAGAGCAUGUGGAUGUCUUGGCUUUGACCCAAUAGGUCCCCAGGGCAGCAGUGCAGUCUUUUAUUCCAGCUUGCUCUGGCAGCCAAGAUCUCAGGAAGCCCAACCCUCUCUGCUGGGGUGGGGGAUGGGGACUUCCUAGAAUUUCAGAGAGA
rnacentral:lncRNA from 1 species